CCUACGGGGAGCAGCAGUGGGGAAUAUUGGACAAUGGGCGAAAGCCUGAUCCAGCCAUGCCGCGUGUGUGAAGAAGGCCUUCGGGUUGUAAAGCACUUUCAGUGGGGAAGAAAGCCUUGGGGCUAAUACCCUCGAGGAAGGACAUCACCCACAGAAGAAGCACCGGCUAACUCCGUGCCAGCAGCCGCGGUAAUACGGAGGGUGCGAGCGUUAAUCGGAAUUACUGGGCGUAAAGCGCGCGUAGGCGGUCUGAUAAGCCGGUUGUGAAAGCCCCGGGCUCAACCUGGGAACGGCAUCCGGAACUGUCAGGCUAGAGUGCAGGAGAGGAAGGUAGAAUUCCCGGUGUAGCGGUGAAAUGCGUAGAGAUCGGGAGGAAUACCAGUGGCGAAGGCGGCCUUCUGGACUGACACUGACGCUGAGGUGCGAAAGCGUGGGUAGCAAACAGGAUUAAAUACCCCAGUAGUC
rnacentral:rRNA from 1 species